AAUCAAAAGUGAAACAAAUGUUCAGAGUUGAUGUUUUUCCAUUUAAACAGCCAGCAUCGAUUCUGUACGGAAUUUCAAAGUGUUUCAGAGGAACUAAAGUAUGAUUGUCGUGUAGCUGCUUCAUAGAAAGACGGUGGAUUUUGUGAAUCUGUGUAAAUAAGAGUCAGUGCUGGAGAUCAGAUUCUGUUUCAUCAUGGAGGACACACAAACAUCCACAGAUCAAGAGUUUUCUCCAGGAUGCAGUUCAGUUGAUCAGAAGAGAUCAGAAGCAGAGUCCAGCUGUGUGUCUGUGAGGAGUGAUGCGUCUAUGGAUCCUCCAGGACAGUUUAAGAGUGGAGAUACAAACACUGAUCUCAGGAUCUGCAGUCAGAGAUCUUCAUCUCCUGAUCACAGCUGUGUGUCUCUGAAGAGUGACGGAUCCAUGGGUCAUCCUCCUGACCUCAGUGAUGGAGCAGUGACCUCUGACCCCAGCAGAGCAGAUGGAGAGCGAAGCAUCUCUGGAGGAGUCUCCUCUGUCUUCUGUCUGAACAACACGAGCGUUACAGCGUCUCUGAAUAAACAUGAUCAAGCAGUGAAUGAUGAACUACAGAGAGUCAAAGAGCAGCACAAAACCAGCAUGAAGAACAAGUAUGAGAGAUUAUGUGAGGGACUGAAACUCCAGGAGAAUGAAAGCCUCCUGAACAGCAUCUACACACAGCUCUACAUCAUAGAGGGAGAGAGAGAAGGAGUGAAUGAAGAACAUGAGGUUUUACAGAUGGAGAAAACAGCCAGAACACAACACUCACAAGACGCUCCAAUCUACUGCAAUGACAUCUUUAAAGCCUCCGCUGAAGCAGGAUCUGAGGAGAAAGAGCAGAUCAAGACUGUUCUUACUAAAGGCAUCGCUGGAAUCGGAAAAACCGUCUCUGUGCAGAAGUUCAUUCUGGACUGGGCCGAGGGAAAAGCCAAUCAGGAUGUAGAUUUCAUGUUUGUGCUUCCAUUUCGAGAGCUGAACUUGAUCCGAGAUCAUCAGUACAGUCUUCACAGACUUCUGCUGGACUUUCAUCCUGAACUUCGAGAUCUGGACUCACAGAUUUAUGAGGCGUGUAAAGUUGUGUUCAUCUUUGAUGGUCUGGAUGAAAGCAGAAUCACACUGAUGUUUUCAGACGCUCAGAAAGUUUGUGAUGUGACUGAGACUUCAUCAGUGGCUGUGUUGAUGUCAAAGCUGAUGAAAGGAGAGCUGCUUCCCUCUGCUCUCAUCUGGAUCACCUCCAGACCAGCAGCAGCCAAUCAGAUCCCCUCCAAAUACAUCCACCGUCUGACAGAGAUUCAGGGAUUCACUGAGCCUCAGAAGGAGGAAUAUUUCAGGAAGAGAAUCAGUGAUGAGCAUCAAGCCAGCAGAAUCAUCUCACACAUCAGAAGAGCAAGAAGCCUCCACAUCAUGUGCCACAUCCCCGUCUUCUGCUGGAUCUCAUCCACUGUGCUUCAGAAGCUCCUGGAAGAAGAUCUGAGAGCAGAAAUCCCUCAAACUCUGACUGAAAUGUACAUCCACUUCCUGCUGAUUCAGAUCAACAUGAGGAAGCAGAAGUAUGAAGAGAGAGAUCCAGAGAAACUCCUGCCGUCCGACAGAGAAGUGAUUGUGAAACUUGCUGAAGUGGCUUUCAAACAGCUGAUGAAGGGCAAUGUGAUGUUCUAUGAGGAGGACCUGAUUGAGAGCGGUGUAGACGUCACUGACGCCUCGGUGUAUUCUGGGAUUUGCACUGAGAUCUUUAAGCAGGAAUCUGUGAUUCAUCAGAGGAAAGUCUACAGCUUCAUUCAUCUGAGCGUUCAGGAGUUUCUCGCUGCUUUCUAUCUGCUUUACUGCUAUUUAACAAAGAACAAGAAAACACUGCAUGAAUUCAGUUCAUACACAUGUGAUAAAGUCUCUCUGUAUGGUCUACUAACAUCAGCAGUAGAUAAAGCUGUUGAGAGUAAGAAUGGACGUCUGGAUCUGUUCCUGCGGUUCCUGCUGGGCGUCUCACUGGAGUCCAAUCAGAGACUCUCACAGGAUCUACUGACACACACAGAGAACAGCUCAGAGACCAUCAGCAGAACCACACAGUAUAUUAAACGCAAGAUUAAAGAUCCAGAUGAUCUUUAUCAUCUCUCAGCUGAUCAGUCCAUCAAUCUGUUCCUCUGUCUGCUGGAAGUGAAAGAUCAGACUCUGUUCAGAGAGAUUCAGGAGUUUGUGAAAUCAGACAAACACUCAGAGAGACUCUCUCCUGCUCACUGCUCAACAAUCUCCUACAUGAUUCAGAUGUCAGAGAAGCCUCUGGAUGAACUGGACCCCAAGAAAUACAAGACAUCAGCUGAGGGGAGAAGAAGACUGAUACCAGCUGUGAUCAACUGCAGAAAAGCUGUGUUGAGAUAUUGUGACGUCACAGAUAAAGGUUGUUCUGCUCUGGCUUCAGCUCUGAGAUCAAACCCCUCACACCUGAGAGAACUGGAUCUGUCUUGGAAUAAAAUAAGAGAUUCAGGAGUGAAGCGUCUCUGUGCUGGACUGGAGGAUCCUCGCUGUAAACUGGAGAAACUGGGGUUGAGAUAUUGUGGGGUCACAGAUGAAGGUUGUUCUGCUCUGACUUCAGCUCUGAGAUCAAACCCCUCACACCUGAGAGAACUGAAUCUGUCUGGGAAUAUAAUAAGAGAUUUGGGAGUGAAGUGUCUCUGUGCUGUACUGGAGGAUCCUCGCUGUAAACUGGAGAAACUGGGGUUGAGAGAUUGUGACGUCACAGAUGAAGGUUGUUCUGCUCUGACUUCAGCUCUGAGAUCAAACCCCUCACACCUGAGAGAACUGGAUCUGUCUGAGAAUAAAAUAAGAGAUUCAGGAGUGAAGCGUAUCUGUGCUGGACUGGAGGAUCCUCGCUGUAAACUGGAGAAACUGUGGUUCUUCUGUCUUCAGUCUGGACGAGGUGUGAGCGUCAUAACUCCAGGGACGGAUGAACACACGGCUCUACUGGACACGUACUCGGAGAACUAGACCAGAGGGACCCCGCCGAAAUACUGCUGCUCCCGGAACCAGAUUUCAGACAGACACCUCAGAUUUCUGAGACAAGUGGAGCUUGAAUGAGAUUUACCAAAGAAAAGGAAAUAUGAGGCAGAACGCACGCUUGCUGUUCUCUGGUGAAUUCUCUCUUCAUGAACAACAAUGUAGAGCUGUGCACACAAUGUACAGAUACUUCUAGAGCAGAUAUGAGGGAGACUUCAGUCACGUUUGGAGCACGCUCUUUCACAGAUGUCUGUGGAUGUGGACUUCUUACAAUUGAUCUGUGUUCAGGAGCUGGUUUUCCUGAGUGCUGUAUCCUCCAGGUCAUCAUUCCUGUGGACAGAUGGGAAGACUUCACUGGUCUGCAUCAUGCUGUUACUUUAGAGAGACACAGAAACGAGACGCAUGUUGUGACGGCACAAUUGGAGCACUCUCUCUUCUGGAGAGGAGCAUUUUGGUAAAUAAAUACACCAUAUUACAUUCAUUGUAAUGUUUAAUCAAUAUUGUUGUUGUACUUUAGGAUAGUUGGUGAAAUAAUGGCAGUGAGCAUUACUCAGGAUGGACCUUUUUCAUGGAGUGGAUUUACAAUUUCAUUUCUUCCGGGAGAUUAAUAAAGAUGAGCUGACAUAACAGAUGCAGACCUGCUAGAUCUGAUUGACAAGAUUGAGACUGCAGACACUACAGCCUUGCUUGAGCUUUCUGAAAGAAUCGUAGCAUGUGGUACACAGGAUCCUAACAUGUGAUGAAAGGAAGACAUUGUCAGGAGCGAGGACUUUGACAGAACGGGGCAGAAUGUCCGGAUUAAAGAUGCUGUUGUGCCAAACAUUUUUAACUUUCCAGCUCAUCUUCAAAGGGUCUGUGUAUCACUGACCAACAAUAAUUCAAGGUGGCUGGAAUAACAACCCUAAUGCCAGCGAGUUAAAGUAGAUCUUUAGGAAGCUGAUGUUAAACAGAGGCAAUGUGACGGCGCAGGAUGAGUCCCUACCAUCUGUCCUCAACACCUCUUCAAACCUGUCAGAUAUGAGGAGAAGAUCUUCCAUCCACGUUUGCUGAUAUUCCUGCCCUAGUACAUGACCACAGCUACCCUCUCGUCCGAUUCGAUGGUCUUGUGGACAACGCUCUCUUGUAUAUUUCAAGAUGUACAAUUAUACAAGUCUUGCAUAAUUAUGGGCUGAAAUUCAACAUGGUUGUAUAUUUAAGACAUGAAUAUUUCAAUUAAAAACAUUUCAAACUGAUUUUCAUAAUCAAAAAUUCAAGAAUUCAUAUUCACCUUUCAGAUUUCACUUCCAAAAUAUUCGAUCUAUUUAAAAAUACAACCUAUAAUAUUCAACAGGCAAGUUUCAGUCCAUUUUAUUUCGCUUUACAAAUUCGCUUCCACAAAUUCAGUGGUUCAAAUUCGACAGUAAAUUCACCGUUUCACAUCCGGGAACAACAGGAAAAUCAGUAGAUUACCGAUCACAAUCUCAUCUGCUGUAAAUCGUCUUCACCGGCAGGAGGUGCAAGCGCUACUUUGUCUUAACAAGCAUCAACGAAACCGUCACGAGAGGCCUUCAUAAAACAUCAUUUGACGAAAUGGACCGAGCGCAUUUGCUUUUGGAUUAUGUUUUGGAAAGACUCCGUUCACGCUUGGAAAAUGCUGUUGGACGCCAACCCCUUGACAUGGACUACCUGGAGUUCAUCUGCUCUCAAGAAUUAGUCUUUUUAAGUGCUGUGACCAAUUUAGUUACCAUCCCAGCUGAUAUUUUCGAGGGCAUCACAGAACUGUCGGACUAGUUCGACUAAACCCGUCAGACGGGGAGACGCGCACUUCGACUAUUCUGCAGGAGUCAGGGUCGAUGGGACGACCACGUCUUCUAAUCUCACCAGACUACAUCACCAAUCUCCUGGACAUGAACUUUUCUGUUCCAACCAUUGCUCGCAUGCUUGGAGUAAGUACACUCACAGUUUUCAGACGAAUGGCUGAAUGUAACCUCUCCAUUCGGGCGCGAUAUAGCACUCUCACGGACGAAGAGUUAGAUGAUUGUGUGACAGAUGUAAAGCAACACAUGCCUCAGUGUGGAUACAGAAUGAUGAGAGCAGCUGUAAAGGACACCAAGUGCAGUUCGACCGGGUCAGGGCAGAUACAGUGGGAGUCAUGUCCCGAAGGGCACAGUUGGGCUGCGUGGUACGAAGGACCCAUUCAGUGUCAGGUCCUAGGUCAAUAAUGCACAUUGACACCAACUAUAAACGGAUUCGCUACAAUAUAGUCAUCUUCGGGGUGUGGAUGGCUUUUCACGCAAGAUAAUGUACCUUGGAGCUGCAUCUAAUAACCUUGCUAAAACCACCUUGGAUUUUUUUCAAGAAGCAGCGGAGACAUUUGGCUUCCCUCUCAGGGUACGAGGAGAUCAGGGUGUCGAAAAUGUGGACGUGGCUCGCCUGAUGUUCACAGUUCGUGAGACAGAAAGAGGAAGCUUUAUUUCAGGAAAGAGCGUCCACAAUCAGCGUAUAGAGAGGUUGUGGAGAGACGUCUGGUCAUCAGUGACAAAUGUCUACUACGAUGUUCUGCAUGCUUUGGAAGAAGGUGGCCACCUUGAUAUUUCUGACCUUACUCAUCUGUUCUGUUGCCACUGUGUAUUUCUCCCACGGCUUCAAGAUGAUCUCAACCUAUUCCGAAACACCUGGGACAAUCACCCAAUACGCACAGAGGGGAUUCAGCACACCACAGAUAGACUGGGAGAGUAGUGGACUGAUGUUGAUGCACAUUCCAGCAUUGUUGUGCCUCAAACCCAAUGUCCCCUGACUGAUGAGCAAAUAGAAGCACUCAGAGAAAAUGUUGACCCCAAAGGACCUUCACAGACUUUUGGCUGGGACAUCUAUCUAGCUGCACUUCAUUUUUGCCAAUCGAUUAUGGAAUAAAUGUGAUUGUCAUCUUUAGCCUUAAAGAGGCAGACUUCUAGCAGAAGCAAUUAAGAAAGAAUUAAUAUUUGUACUCAAUACGUUAAAGUAUCUGAAUAAAAAAAACCUGUAUGUAA